AUUGAACGCUGGCGGCAGGCCUAACACAUGCAAGUCGAGCGAGUGGCGGACGGGUGAGUAAUGUAUGGGAAUCUGCCUGAUAGAGGGGGAUAACUACUGGAAACGGUGGCUAAUACCGCAUACACUCGGAUGAGCCCAUAUGGGAUUAGCUAGUAGGUGGGGUAAAGGCUCACCUAGGCGACGAUCUCUAGCUGGUCUGAGAGGAUGAACAGCCAAACGUGGACGUAGACACGGUCCAGACUCCUACGGGAGGCAGCAGUGGGGAAUAUUGCACAAUGGGCGCAAGCCUGAUGCAGCCAGGCCGCGUGUAUGAAGAAGGCCUUCGGGUUGGAAAGUACUUUCAGCGGGGAGGCGUUACCCGCAGAAGAAGCACCGGCUAACUCCGUGCCAGCAGCCGCGGUAAUUC
rnacentral:rRNA from 1 species